UUGUAGCUAACGCGUUAAGCACUCCGCCUGGGGACUACGGUCGCAAGACUAAAACUCAAAGGAAUUGACGGGGACCCGCACAAGCGGUGGAGCAUGUGGUUUAAUUCGAUGCAACGCGAAAAACCUUACCACUUCUUGACAUGGAGGCUAGAUCUUCCUUAACGGGAAGGCGCAGUUCGGCUGGGCCUCGCACAGGUGCUGCAUGGCUGUCGUCAGCUCGUGUCGUGAGAUGUUGGGUUAAGUCCCGCAACGAGCGUAACCCUCAUCCUUAGUUACCAGCGGGUAAUGCCGGGCACUUUAAGGAAACUGCCAGUGAUAAACUGGAGGAAGGUGGGGAUGAUGUCAAGUCAGCACGGCCCUUAUGGGGUGGGCUACACACGUGCUACAAUGGCGACUACAAUAGGUUGCAACGUCGCAAGGCUGAGCUAAUCCGUAAAAGUCGUCUCAGUUCGGAUUGUCCUCUGUAACUCGAGGGCAUGAAGUCGGAAUCGCUAGUAAUCGUGGAUCAGCAUG
rnacentral:rRNA from 1 species